UGGGGAUAUUGCACAAUGGGCGAAAGCCUGAUGCAGCGACGCCGCGUGGGGGAUGAAGGCCUUCGGGUUGUAAACUUCUUUUGCUCUGAACAAGGCAUGCCUUUGGGGUGUGUUGAGUGUAGGGGUUGAUUAGCGCCGGCUAACUACGUGCCAGCAGCCGCGGUAAUACGUAGGGCGCGAGCGUUGUCCGGAAUUAUUGGGCGUAAAGGGCUUGUAGGUGGCUGGUUGCGUCUGUCGUGAAAGCUCAUGGCUUAACUGUGGGUUUGCGGUGGGUACGGGCUGGCUUGAGUGCAGUAGGGGAGGCUGGAAUUCCUGGUGUAGCGGUGGAAUGCGCAGAUAUCAGGAGGAAUACCGGUGGCGAAGGCGGGUCUCUGGGCUGUUACUGACGCUGAGGAGCGAAAGCGUGGGGAGCGAACAGG
rnacentral:rRNA from 1 species